rnacentral:rRNA from 1 species
CGUCGAGCGGCGGACGGGUGAGUAAUACUUAGGAAUCUACCUAGUAGUGGGGGAUAGCACGGGGAAACUCGUAUUAAUACCGCAUACGACCUACGGGAGAAAGGGGGCAGUUUACUGCUCUCGCUAUUAGAUGAGCCUAAGUCGGAUUAGCUAGAUGGUGGGGUAAAGGCCUACCAUGGCGACGAUCUGUAGCUGGUCUGAGAGGAUGAUCAGCCACACCGGGACUGAGACACGGCCCGGACUCCUACGGGAGGCAGCAGUGGGGAAUAUUGGACAAUGGGGGAAACCCUGAUCCAGCCAUGCCGCGUGUGUGAAGAAGGCCUUUUGGUUGUAAAGCACUUUAAGCAGUGAAGAAGACUCCGUGGUUAAUACCCACGGACGAUGACAUUAGCUGCAGAAUAAGCACCGGCUAACUCUGUGCCAGCAGCCGCGGUAAUACAGAGGGUGCAAGCGUUAAUCGGAAUUACUGGGCGUAAAGGGAGCGUAGGUGGCUCUAUAAGUCAGAUGUGAAAUCCCCGGGCUCAACCUGGGAACUGCAUCUGAAACUGUAGAGCUAGAGUAUGUGAGAGGAAGGUAGAAUUCCAGGUGUAGCGGUGAAAUGCGUAGAGAUCUGGAGGAAUACCGAUGGCGAAGGCAGCCUUCUGGCAUAAUACUGACACUGAGGCUCGAAAGCGUGGGUAGCAAACAGGAUUAGAUACCCUGGUAGUCCACGCCGUAAACGAUGUCUACUAGUCGUUGGGUCCCUUGAGGACUUAGUGACGCAGCUAACGCAAUAAGUAGACCGCCUGGGGAGUACGGCCGCAAGGUUAAAACUCAAAUGAAUUGACGGGGGCCCGCACAAGCGGUGGAGCAUGUGGUUUAAUUCGAUGCAACGCGAAGAACCUUACCUGGUCUUGACAUAUCUAGAAUCCUGCAGAGAUGCGGGAGUGCCUUCGGGAAUUAGAAUACAGG